UACGUAGGGGGCGAGCGUUACCCGGAUUUACUGGGCGUAAAGCGCGUGUAGGCGGCUGGUCAAGCGUGGUGUGAAAUCUCCGGGCUCAACCCGGAAACUGCAUUGCGAACUGACCUAGCUGGAGUGCAGGAGAGGGCAGCGGAAUUCCCGGUGUAGCGGUGAAAUGCGUAGAUAUCGGGAAGAACACCAGUGGCGAAGGCGGCUCACUGGCCCGGUACUGACGCUGAGGUGCGAAAGCGUGGGGAGCGAACAGG
rnacentral:rRNA from 1 species